rnacentral:lncRNA from 1 species
CUGACCGAGGUGCCAUUUGGAGGAAGGAAACUUUAUAAUUGCAUAGCAACAUUUGCACCUGUCUGUAGAACAUUGUAAUAUGGUUGUCUUUAUAAAAAAAAAAAAAAUUAAAGUAAAAUUAACUCAGGACUUCGUGGUUGGGAAGCAAACCUCUUUGACCAUUCAGCCACAUGGAGUCUUCUAAAUAAGAAGUAAGCUGAUUGGUUUGGUAGAAAUUGUGGUUGCUGCAGUGUGUGUGUGUGUGAGUAAUUCUUUGCCAAUUAGCCAAAUGGUCUUCUUUGAAUGUGGUGAGGAUAUUUCCAAGUGUAACAGCCACACCAUUCCAGAACAGUCUGCCAUACUCUUACAAAUGCGGCAAUCAUGCUUUGAAGGAAGGAAUUUCCAUUCAGGUGUCUGAUUGGUAAUUGGUAGUUAUACUGAGUUAUAAAGGAGAGCCAACAUACACAUACAUACUUACACAUUUAAAUGCAUAUACACACACACACACAUACACGUGCAUGCACAUACUUACACAUUUGUUCCUGUGCAUACUAAGAUUCACAUACAUAUAUUCACACAUGAACACCAUAUACACACAUCCAUACACACACAAACGCAUAUCCACAAAUAUAUAUCUACGCAAACACACAUUUACACAUAUACACAUAUACACAUACACAAACACAUUCACACAUGUAAACACAUACAAGCAUACAUAUAUAAAAACACACAUAUACACACACGCACAAUUACACUCACACACACAUACACUCAUACAUACACACAUACAUAACCAUAUACACAUACAUGCACACUCAUAUACACACACAUGCACACACCCAUGCACAGACAAAUAUUCACACAUGCAUACACAUACAUACACACACAUACACUCACAAACACAUACACUCACGUGCACGCAUACACACACACAUUUAUUUAUAUAUAUAUAUAUAUACAAUGACUUUGCCAUUAAUAAACACAUUUAAAGAGCUUGAGAUGCCAAAGGAAGACUUGCAAAUAAAUUCUCUCCUCAACCUCCUGUACUUAUAUGCAGUGUAAGACCUUCAUGCCAAACUAGAAUUUCACCAAAUGCAUUAAAAUUUCAUAGUUCUAUAGGUGUAGGUGUGUCUGUGAGGUAAGACAUUUGAUUCCCAAAUACCUGGUUCUAGGUUCAGUCCCACUGUAUGGCAUCUUGGACAAGUACCUUCUAUUAUAGUCUUGGACCAACUGAAGCUUUGUAAGUGAAUUUGGUAGAUGGAUACUGAAAGAAGCCCAUCGUAUGUCUGUCUGUCUGUAUGUGUGUAUAUGUGUGUAUAUAUGUAUGUAUUUCUGUAUGUAUGUCAUUGUUCAGUUUUAUUUCAAGAUUUUUUACCAAUAGAGAAAGAGCCAAUUUCAAACCUAGAUCGAAUUUUAAUAUCAACAUCAGGGUAUUUUUGUUUGUGUGUGUGUAUGUAUGUAUGUAUGUAUAUGUGCAGUUUUGUAUGUUUUGUUUUAUGUAUGUAUUCUCAUGCAUAUAGUCGCAUACUUAGACAUGCUCAUAUAUAUUUAAAAGAUAAAUUUUGGAAAGUUUUACAGAUUUUUUACAGUUCCAGUGAUGGAUUGCAUCUGUAAUCUUCGAAUUAGCUUUGUCAUUUCUAGUUUUCAGAAGCCUAAUUUCUGAAGCUUAGUAUUUAGGCAGUGUGUUACAUAUCCCAGGGCCCCAAUAAUUACAGGUAUAAAACUGAACUUGUAAUCUGGAUAGAGUAACUGCAGAUUUCUCAAUAGUUCAGUGUAGGUGUUCUCUUUUUCACUGAUCUUCAGCUUUAUGUUAACAUCUGAUGGGCAGCUGAUUUCCACAAUUGAUCUACAUGUGUAUGAACAUAUGUAUGUAUGUAUGUAUGUAUGUAUGUAUGUAUGUAUGUAUGUAUGUAUGUAUGUAUGUAUGUAUGUAUGUAUGUAUGUGUGUGUGUGUGUGUAUGUGUAUGUGUGUGUAUGUCUUUGUGCUUGUUAUUCUUCCCCAUCACCACUUGACAAUCAUGCUGGUUUCUUUACAUCGUUUUAACUUAGCGUUUCAAUAAAACAGCUUAUAAAGUACAUACCAGGCUUUAAAAAAAAUAGGUACUAGAGUCUUUUGACAGAAAUACUCUUCUAGGUAGUGUCCAGCAUGGCCGCAGUUCAAUGACCGAGACAUGGAAGAGAAAAAACACAAUAGAAGAUAUGGUUCAUUGUUUGUUUACUGCUUGUUCUAUUAAAGACACAAACAGUUUGGAAACUGAAUAUUAAACCAAAACAACUUUGUUUUACCUUCCCAGAAUCUGAUUGAUUUUGGCGAUGUCUGGAACAGCAGAAGUCACUGUUAGAGAUUCUUUAGAGGCUAUAAAUAAUUAUAGAGCUAUAAAUAAUUAUACAAAAGUAUUGUUUUAAUUAUGUCUGUUUUUUUUAUGUUUAUUUAUUGAAUUGUUCAAUAAUGUCUUAUUUGUUUAUCUCAGUGUUUCAUAGAAAUUCUUUAUUGCUUUGACGAUGGCCUUAACACCAAUGUUAAGAACUGUAAACUGCUAAUCAUAUAUAUAUAUAUAUAUAUAUAUAUAUAUAUAUAUGUGUGUGUGUGUGUGUGUGUGUGUAUAUAUAUAUAUGUGUGUGUAUGCAUAUAUAUAUAUAUACAUACAUAUAUAUACAUAUAUAUGUGUGCAUAUGUAUGUGUAUAUAUAUAUAUAUAUACAUAUAUAUAUAUAUAUACAUAUAUAUACAUACAUAUAUAUUUAUACAUAAAUAUAUACAUACAUAUAUACAUAUAUAUAUAUAUUUAUAUAUAUGCAUAUGAAUGCAUCUAUAUAUGCACAUGUAUAUAAUUACCUAUGUGUGUGUGUGUGAGUGUAGCCAUAGAUAUAUAGGCAUAUUCACAUUUAUAUAACUCAUGUAGUUGCAAAUACUUGAGAUUAAUACAUAUAUUUCUUUUAUAAAUGCAUACAAAUAAUAUAUAAGGUCCUGUGCUUAAGAAGUUUCUUUCCAGCUUUGUGGUCUUGGGUUCAGUCCCAUUGCUUGGCAUCAUGAGCAAAUGUCUUCCAUGAUAACCCCAGGUCAACAAAAUGGUGUGUGUGUCUGUUUGUGUGUGUGUGUGUGUCCCCGUGUUGAUGUGUGUGUAUGUGUGUCUAUGUGAGGGAGUGUGUAUGAAUUUGUGCUUCUCCCACACCACUGCUCGUCAACCAUAAUUGAUUUGUGUGCAUCACUAUAACUUAGCAGUUCAGCCAAAGAGACCAGCAGAGUACAUACAGACUUGAAGACAUGUACUGGGGUCAAUUUGUUUGACUAAACCCUUAAAGCCAGUGUCCUAACAUGGUCACAGACCAGUGACUAAAAUGAGUAAAAGAUAAAAAUUGUUUUUCAAGAAACACAAUCAUUUAUUUUGAAGUACGUACACCAGAAGAUGCUAACCAUCAUACAUGCAUUUCUUUUUCUUUUGCCAAACAAAAUGGAUAUCCAAGAACCUCAAAUGCAACCAGUUUUGUUAAACUAUGUAUUUGAAUUUUUGCUGUGCUAUAGCUCCUAGUGAGAGUACCUGUCAUAUAACAUAAAACCUAAACAUUGAUAAAAACUGAAAUAAUUCCAUCAUGCCCCCACAUGUGAAAAUACAUUCUGACAUACCUUAUUACCAACAGCAAUAACAUGAUGUUUGGAAAGAACAUAGCCAUUCAUUGCGUUUUUUUUUUCUCAAAAAAUUUUUCAUGCAUUAAUAAACAAAAACAUCAGAGUAACCUUCUCUUAUGUAGUUACCUUAUGACCUUUUAACAAAAAUCUAUGCAUAUUGAGUUAUUCAAUAAACUCACUAAUUUUUUCACCUAAAAUAGCUUCUUUUCAAAGAACCAUAAAAGAAUUUUAUUUUUUCUUUCCCUUUCUAAUAAAUUCAUACUAUAACUACCAUUAGACCAUUUCAGUACAGACACACACACAAACACACACACAUUCACUCAUACUCAUACACACGUAAAGCAUUGUACUUAAAAAAAUAGACGUACGCACAGACAACACAUUCACACUUUGACCACAAAUAAUUUGUCGCAAACACAGCAGCCAUUGGAAACACACAUCUUACAAAUGAAAUGCACUUCCACUGAAACACAAUUAGUUUUGCCUUUUGUUGUUCUCAAAGAAUCACACUAUAAAGGUGAAAUAAAUGACUUAGCGACAUUACUCGAAAAGCUAGGUAAAGGUAAAUCUAAUAAUUGUAAUACAAAGAUGGAAUGUCCACCUAUUAAUACAAAAAAGUACGCACUACUCUGCAAAUUGGUAUUACAUCAUCUUUUAUUUGUGUUACUUAUUGCUUUUAAUUCAUUGCACAAGCACACAUUCACACAUACACACACAGACACAUCUAUCUAUCUAUCUAUCUAUCUAUAUAUAUAUAUCUAUACACGCAUAUUUAUGUAUAUAAAUAUAUAUAUACAUACACACAGUGCAUGUAUAUAUAAAUAUAUAGAUAUAUAUAUAACUAAAUAUAUAGAUAUAUAUAUAUAACUAUAUAUAUAUAUAUAUAUAUAUAUAUAUAUAUAUAUGCACAUACAUAUUUACAUACAUAUACAGGCAUAGGUUUGGCUGUAGAGUAAAAAGUUUCUUCUAAACCACAUGGUUCCAGGCUCAAUCCCACUGUGAGGUAAAUCGGGCAAGUGUCAGCUGAUAUAGACCUGGGUUGCCAAAGCUUUGUAAGUCGAUUUGGUAGAGAGACACUGAAAGGAACCUGCUAUACAUAUAUAUACACAUACACACACAUAUAUACAGACAUAUAUAUAUAUAUGGGUAUGUGUGUGUGUGUAUAUAUAUAUAUGUAUAAUAUAUAUAUGUGUAUAGAUAUAUAUAUAAAUACAUACAUACACAAUGGGCUUCUUAUAUAUAUGUGUGUGUGUGUGUGUGUUCAGUCUACCAAAUGUACACACAAGGCUUUAGUUGACCCAAGGCUAUAGUAAAAGACAUUUGCUCAAAGUGUUGUGCAGUGUGUGUGGUGUGUGUGCAUGCAUCUGUGUAUAGGUGUAUGUGUGUGUGCAGGUGUAUGUGUGUGAGCGUUUCUAUUGUGUGUCCUGUUCUCUUGACAUCACAUGAUGGGGUCUACUUGAACGGUUAUUCUCAUGCAAGCACUGUUGCUCAUUUCCAGUCAUCCAUGGAGAACCAUGUUCAACCAUCGGGAAAAGAGGAGAGUUGGUGAAAGUAAGAGCACCCACUCGUAGAAGAAAUUUGUCUCAGUAAAUUUCAUCUGAGCCAUGCAAGCAUGGGAAAGUGGACGUCUAAAUGACAAUGAAAAUGAUGAUGUGAUUGAUGAUGAGAAUGAUGAUGAUGGGGAUAAUGAUGAUGAUGAUGACGACGACGACGACAAUGACGACGACGACAAUGACGACGACGACAAUGACGACGAUGACGAUGAUGAUGAGGCUGACGACAACGACAAUGAUGACGGCAACAAUGAUGAUGACAAGGACAAUGAUGUUGAUGAUGAUGAUGAUGAUGAUGAUGACAAUGACGAUGACGGCGAUGAUUAUGAUGAUGAUGAUGAUGUUGAGGAUGAUAACAACAACAACAACGACGACGAUGAUGAUGAUGAUAGAGAGACUUGCCAAGAGUGUUUUCUUUUCUUUUUCUCUUUUCCCUUUUCGUUUUUUAUUUUUCUGGGUUUUUUUCCUUGCUUUUUGUUGUAUCUCAGGGUUAGAAGAUGAAAGAAAUAACAAGCAUUGAGAAGAAGUGCAAUCAAGCUGAAGAGAAAGAGAACGAAACUGCUGCCUUGGUCUGUUUUACUCGACAGGGCAAUGUUUGGGAAAAC